AGUAUAGAACCCGAUCUAUCAGAGCCCAUCGUUCAUCAAUUUGUGACCCAGGAGCGGCCCAUAACGGCAUCGCACAAUCCGAAGCGAAGCCGCCGCCGCCUCUCCUUCCUUCCUUCCCCGUCGCCGACCGUGUCGCACCGGCGCGUCGGCCACCGUGCGUCCAUCCGUGGCCACCCUGGUCCCCCACCCUCCUCUCCCCGUCCCGUCCCCAUUUCGGGAUGGGCGCGGCGCGACGGAAGCGCACGCGGGGGCUCGCCGCCGCGCGUUCCCUCUCCUCGGGUAACUCGACGGUGCGGGUGUCCCGCUGAGCUAGCUACCAUGUGAUGUGAGUACCCCCCACCCCACCCACCCCGCGACAACUCGCCUCCUCUGCCUACAGCGCGCCCCGUCACGCGAUGAUCGAGGCUGCGGCACCGCUGCUUGAUUGUUGGGGGGGGGGGGGGGCGCGGAGGCGCCGGUCCCUGUCGUCCGGCUUUCAGCGUCGCCGUACACCCGCCCUAUUUAGGGUGGGCGUUUGUCUGGAUAGAUGGCAGGGGACCCGGCAGAUUCGGUGUCCGCAUGCUUCGCGAUAAGGCGAGAGAAGUAGGUGGAAGGUUCACUGUGCCCCCCGCACGCAUUGGUUGAAAUUUGGAGUAGGGAUUGCCCGCGAAGUUGUUUACGGGGACGAUUUGGGCUAUGGCUAGCCAAAUCCCGUUGCGUGAUACUAAUGGUAUUUGAUUUGGUAAUUGGUUAGAUACUGGUUGGUCCUUGGUUAGUGCAGUAUGCCCUUUUUAUCUUAAUUUGAUUAACAGCAGUCUAGCACUCUUGCAGUCUAUCAUGUGCUUCGUUAGGCAACCAUCAUUCAAACCGACAGCCCCACAGCAUUGGUUCUGCAAGGAUUGAGUACUGCUGGUGCAUGAGUUCGAGGUUGAUAUGUCAAACAUGCUAAGUGGAUACAAUUAUUGUUUAUCUGGAGUUUCGUGGCCUCAUACUGCAAGGCUCAAGUGGAAUCCUGGCUCUCGUGAUGAUGCCAAACUGACCUAGGCCUCCAAGGGCAGCAUGAAAAAGAUCAGAGUUUUGUUCUGGUCUGUCUGAUACCAGUCACAAUUUCCAGCUCGUUAACAUUGCUGAUCUGUGGGCCAUGCCGGAAGGUCUGCCCGCUGACACCUGCAUUUGACAGUGUGCCUCCAACCGUGAGAUGGAGAUAGUCUGUCCACGAUUUUGGUGCCAAACCAUACUUCAGAGUCUCGUGCAAAACAUUUAUCCAGAGUUCCCCUCCUGAAGCAUCAACAUAGGGUGAUGCACCAGGGUGCACCCUCAUUCUGUUACUCUGGAGGGAUUCCAUACUGAUGACAAUUCCCCCAGCAGCCUGGGACUGCCCAUACAGCGAGUGCCCAUGUCCGCGGGCUGCUACUGUGAGUGUGGAGUGCUCACCCAUCAAGAAUACAUGCCUGACGGUUGUGGCAAUGUCAGCCACUGAGCCAGGGUGAAGCACGGCAACUGGUGGGAAGCUGGAUAGGUUGCCAAAGUCCCGUGCAGCAGCAGACACAUCUUGGAAGCUGAAAUGGCCAUCAAGGGGGAGUGCCUUCAGGGAUGAAGGCACAUCUUGUAGAGGCACAUGUGUGGUGGUGACACCACCAAGGGCAACUAACAGGAGCAGCUUCAGAUAAUGCAAGUGUGAUGGUCUCAUGGCUAUUCUCUAUGUAACAAUGAACAAUAAUAUGCGGCAAUGUUUUGAGAAGAAAGACAAAAUGUGUGGGAGGAUAGUUCGCUGCCAAGAGCAGAGGGAUGGGGGUGCAGAUGGAGGGAGAGAAGGAGAUUUAAAGGAAAACUUGGAAGGAUGUAUGCGGACUGGUGCAGGAAGUGGUGUGGUCAAACCAGUCCUGGGUACUGUUUGGUAGACUAGAACCCAUGUGAAGAUGCGCUGCGUACAAAAUUUGGAUGAAGACAUACUUCUUUUGGGGGAAGACAUGUUGGGGUGGUUGAUGGUUCCAUUUGAGAGGCUAAUAUUCUUUCUUCCUGGCUUCUGUUUUAAGGAUGGUGUGGCAUCUGUCAGUAAGUGAUUGGAGGUAGGGAAAAAUAAUGCUCUCGUUUAGUCUCCCGCAGUACAUAUCUUGCACUACAACUUGCUCAGGGGACAGUGACAUGGUAGAGAUCAAACAGGUGCAGUGAACAGAUAUAGGUUUUGAACAUGUAUCUGAUGUGAAUCUCAGAAGGAUUGAGCUUCUGAUCAAGUCAUAUGAAGGAUAAGAAAAAUGUGAUAUCAAGUGCUCAGUGGCAAACCUGAUCGCUCUUGAGAAGGCCUGCUCGAUCCCUCAAAUUCGAUUUCUUAUGCAGAAACCCGUAUAGAUGUUGGGGCCUGUUUUCCAACAGCAUGAAGAUCAAUUUUUUGCAGAACAUAUAAACAGAAAAUGUAGCUGAAGCGACGAUACAUAAUAUCAUUUUCAAGGAAUGACUUUCUGUAGUGCUCUUCUUGCUUAAGAGCACACGUAAUAGGCCUCUCUAAAGAGAGUACAUCUUUUCCAGGAAAACGAAAGGUAAAGAUUUCCGUAUCAAAUAUAUCAACACAUGACUUAUUUCUUCACUUGAAAAGGAGGAUUGGUUAUGCUUUAGUUUCCUUGGUCCUUGAAGUGGGAACUGGAUGUGCAAACUGAAAGCUCCUUUUUCGUUUGUUUUGCAUGGAACGACAUAUGGAAUUGCCAUGAUCUAACCCAAGAAAUAUCACAAGCAUCAUAGAGCCACCGGCGAUCCAGAAGAAAAUAAUAGUGGGAGCUGAAUAUCUCUUCUUUUAAUCUUUAGAAUGAACUUCAGUCCCCUUUUUCUACGUUCUUACCCCAGAAAAUUUAAUGGGGGGCUUAGGAGGUCUCUAUGGCCUAAGCUGGUAUCAUGACAGAUCUGCCACUGCAGCCACAGUGGACAGUAUGCUGGCUGGCCCCAACAAUGGCCACUUCUGGUAUGCCACCUUGGACGCCCAAAGGCCGCUAGUCAGCCGUUGAUGCCGCGGUCACCCAGAGACGUCUGCGCUACGCUACGCUUCUGCUUUUGCUUGGAAUGAUUCUGGAGAUCGAGACGGAUUGUGUGCAAGGUGGAAAGCUGCGAAGGAUGGACAGGGAGUAUUUCUUUCUUUCUUUCUGAUUUCUGGAAUCAUGCGGGCAGAGGUUGCUUGUCGGGCUAUGUUUUGAAAGAUUUUUGUUUUAUAGAAAACCUUUGCCUUCCUUAAUGAACCUUCGAAAUAGGACUGUCUCCUUCUCAGGUUUCACUUAUCGUGAUUAUCGUAUCGGUCAAGCUGCUAGGGUAUAAUAAUGGUUUGUCACGGUUCUGCUCGGAAAAUAUCUGGAAAAAAUUGUGGUGAUAUAUCGUGAUCAUUGUGACAUAUCAUGUGGUUUAAACACCAAAAUUGUGAUUAUCAUUAUUGUCAAAAUCAGUGUCAAUAAGA